UACGAGUUGUGCAAACGUUAUUCGGAAUCACUGGGCUUAAAGGGUGCGUAGGCGGGCAGGCAGGUCAGAUGUGAAAUCCCACGGCUCAACCGUGGAAUUGCGUUUGAAACCGCAUGUCUUGAGGGGGUCAGAGGAGAGCGGAACUGAUGGUGGAGCGGUGAAAUGCGUUGAUAUCAUCAGGAACACCGGUGGCGAAAGCGGCUCUCUGGGACCUUUCUGACGCUGAGGCACGAAAGCCAGGGGAGCGAACGGG
rnacentral:rRNA from 1 species